CCCGUCAGUGAUCUUGUCUGAUCUUGGAAGCUAAAAAAGGCUAGACAUAGUUAGUACUUGGAUAGGAGACCACCGGGGAAUACCAAGUACUGAAGGGA
rnacentral:rRNA from 1 species